GACGAACGCUGGCGGCGCGCCUAACACAUGCAAGUCGAACGGUGAACGGGGCUUCGGCCCCGGGAUCAGUGGCGAACGGGUGCGUAACACGUGGGCAACCUGCCCCAGACCCUGGGAUAACCCCGGGAAACCGGAGCUAAUACCGGAUACUCCGACCGAACCGCAUGGCUCGGCCGGGAAAGGUCCGCCGGUCUGGGAUGGGCCCGCGGCCUAUCAGCUUGUUGGUGGGGUCACGGCCUACCAAGGCGACGACGGGUAGCUGGUCUGAGAGGACGACCAGCCACGCUGGGACUGAGAUACGGCCCAGACUCCUACGGGAGGCAGCAGUGGGGAAUCUUGCACAAUGGGCGAAAGCCUGAUGCAGCGACGCCGCGUGAGGGAUGAAGGCCCUCGGGUUGUAAACCUCUUUCGGCAGGGACGAAGCGAUCGUGACGGUACCUGCAGAAGAAGCCUCGGCUAACUACGUGCCAGCCGCCGCCGUAAAAC
rnacentral:rRNA from 1 species